rnacentral:rRNA from 1 species
CAGGACGAACGCUGGCGGCGUGCCUAAUACAUGCAAGUCGAACGGUCUUUCUAUGGAAGCUUGCUUCCACUGAGAAGAUAGUGGCGAACGGGUGAGUAACACGUGGGUAACCUGCCCGUAAGAGGGGGAUAACAUCCGGAAACGGGUGCUAAUACCGCAUAGUUUUCUUGAUCGCAUGAUCGGGAAAGGAAAGACGGCCUUUGUGCUGUCGCUUAUGGAUGGACCCGCGGCGUAUUAGUUAGUUGGUGAGGUAACGGCUCACCAAGACGAUGAUACGUAGCCGACCUGAGAGGGUGAUCGGCCACAUUGGGACUGAGACACGGCCCAAACUCCUACGGGAGGCAGCAGUAGGGAAUCUUCCGCAAUGGACGAAAGUCUGACGGAGCAACGCCGCGUGAGUGAAGAAAGGUUUUCGGAUCGUAAAACUCUGUUGUCAGAGAAGAACAAGUUGGAGAGUAACUGCUCCAGCCUUGACGGUAUCUGACCAGAAAGCCACGGCUAACUACGUGCCAGCAGCCGC